UUCCCCCUGCAAUGUUGGUGAAGAUGCGAUAUUCUUUGAGCCAACAGAAAAAAAAGGGGAGCUGUCUCUUAUUGUGGCUGGCCUGUCCUAAUUCGCAGGAGUAUAGGAACGCCAAAAGCAAUAAUAUGGCACCCACCUAGAAAACCUAGGUUCAAAAGGAAAGCAUCCCACGGCAUUUGCGGGGGGAUA
rnacentral:other from 1 species